UGGCGGCGUGGUUAAGACAUGCAAGUCGAACGAGAGAAUUGCUAGCUUGCUAAUAAUUCUCUAGUGGCGCACGGGUGAGUAACACGUGAGUAACCUGCCCCCGAGAGCGGGAUAGCCCUGGGAAACUGGGAUUAAUACCGCAUAGUAUCGAAAGAUUAAAGCAGCAAUGCGCUUGGGGAUGGGCUCGCGGCCUAUUAGUUAGUUGGUGAGGUAACGGCUCACCAAGGCGAUGACGGGUAGCCGGUCUGAGAGGAUGUCCGGCCACACUGGAACUGAGACACGGUCCAGACACCUACGGGUGGCAGCAGUCGAGAAUCAUUCACAAUGGGGGAAACCCUGAAGGUGCGACGCCGCGUGGGGGAAUGAAGGUCUUCGGAUUGUAAACCCCUGUCAUGUGGGAGCAAAUUAAAAAGAUAGUACCACAAGAGGAAGAGACGGCUAACUCUGUGCCAGCAGCCGCGGUAAUACAGAGGUCUCAAGCGUUGUUCGGAAUCACUGGGCGUAAAGCGUGCGUAGGCUGUUUCGUAAGUCGUGUGUGAAAGGCGCGGGCUCAACCCGCGGACGGCACAUGAUACUGCGAGACUAGAGUAAUGGAGGGGGAACCGGAAUUCACGGUGUAGCA
rnacentral:rRNA from 1 species